GUGAAUUGCAACAGGUUCUGGUUUCCUACCUUACUGCUGCUGCAAUUUAGUUAUCCUUAUUCGAAAAUCCAAAAAAAAAAAACUGUUCCUAUAUUGCUGCAUAAACCUUUUGUCACAAAGUUUUCAUCUCUACGACGAAAGAUACAUUGCAAAAUUCCAGCCGCAUAGCACCAUCUGUUUGAUCUUGCUACUAUGCUUUUUCUAUCCAAAUUUC
rnacentral:lncRNA from 1 species